rnacentral:rRNA from 1 species
GACGAACGCUGGCGGCAGGCUUAACACAUGCAAGUUGAACGAGAUCUUCGGAUCUAGUGGCAGACGGGUGAGGAACACGUGGGAACAUCCCUUUCAGUUCGGAAUAACGUUGGGAAACUAACGCUAAUACCGGAUACGUCCUUCGGGAGAAAGAUUUAUCGCUGAAAGAUUGGCCCGCGUCUGAUUAGCUAGUUGGUGAGGUAAUGGCUCACCAAGGCUACGAUCAGUAGCUGAUCUGAGAGGAUGAUCAGCCACAUUGGGACUGAGACACGGCCCAAACUCCUACGGGAGGCAGCAGUGGGGAAUAUUGGACAAUGGGCGCAAGCCUGAUCCAGCCAUGCCGCGAGUGAUGACGGCCUUCGGGUUGUAAAGCUCUUUUGUCCGGGAAGAUAAUGACUGUACCGGAAGAAUAAGCCCCGGCAAACUUCGUGCCAGCCGCCGCAGUAA